CGAUACGUUCUUGUGUUCCUCUCUGUUUUAUUGCUAUUUAUGAAAAAAAAUCUAUGAACAAAAAAAUAAUGCAAAAUAAACCAUUAAAAAUAGCCAUAACCUGAACUAUUUGGAUGUAUUUGAUGCGGAGGAUAUUAAAGUCGAUUAAAAAAAGUCGGAGGAUGUUUGAAUAUAACAUUUUCUUGUAAAUUUCUAUAACUUUUUAGAGAAAUUUAAAAAAUGGAUUUUAUAGGGCUUUUUGUGAGAUAAUCUAACAGCCAACUAGACAAUCUAACAGCCUCUUUCAAUUGAUUCGUGGAGUAUUUAUGAACAUGUUGAUCGUUCCAAGUUAUUUAUGAAACUUCAUGUCUUUCUCUAUAGUUCUCCACCUCCUCUCUCCUGUCUCUCAUUCAUACGAAGCUACUCAUUAAUGCUAAAUAUGUCGUUUAUUGACCGUCACAUUUCUAAAUCGUUUGAUUAUGAAAGAACGCUUGGUUUCAAUGCGUUAAGUAUUGCAGCUUUACAAACUGGAUGCCACAAUGCUGCCGACAAAUGCUGCCAUGCGGCAGACGGAGCUGAAACUCAGGAUGGUAUCUGUUCUUGACAAUCGCGUUAUUAUUGUGCCCCUGUUGAAGUCAUAUAUGCAGGCACGCCUAAGGAUCUGGUUGACAAAGAUGCUGCAGAUAAGUCCAGUGCUGCAACUGAGGCUUUGUUAAAAGAUAUUCAACAUGAUGUCAAGGACACUAACAAAUGAGCUGUUAAUCUAAGACAAGGACAGGGAAAGUCAGAGGAUGAGAAGAAGAAAAAAGUUCUUACAAAGGUUUAAGGAUCCUAAAGACAACCGAUGGUAGUGAGGACCAGCAUCCCUGCUAUCCAGAAAAGGCGGAAAUAGUGUAAGUCUUUGUUUUGUUCUUACUAUGAUACCUGCUGGAACUUCUUUUCUUUUUUUGGCCAAGAUACCUGUCCAUUGUGUAAAUUUGUUGCCAUACAUGCUCCCAUUUUCAAUGUGCUUUCACCUGUGUUGUGCUUCAGCUGCUCUGCUGCUGCCCAUGGUGGAAAUCAUAGUGAUCCUGCUGUUGAUUUUCCUGUAACGACUGAAGUAAUCGAAGCAACCGGAAGAGGAACCUAUGCAUGAUUUUGAGGACAUGCAAAGAAAGCUUGAUGACAACAUGGAGCUUCAGAGGCAAUUUGAGAACGAGGCUAAACAAAAACGUCUUGCUGAGCAAAAUAAGAAUGUAGGUGAGGGUGGA